rnacentral:rRNA from 1 species
GUACACGCUGUGACUAGCAUAUCAAUAAGCGGAGGAAAAGAAACUAACAAGGAUUCCCUCAGUAACGGCGAGUGAAGCGGGAAGAGCUCAAAUUUGAAAUCUUGAAAGGUCACCUUUCACGAAUUGUAGUUUAAAGAAGUGUUUUCUGUUACGAUCGUAAUAUAAGUUCUUUGGAAUAGGACAUCACUAGAGGGUGAGAAUCCCGUCUAUGAUUGACAUAUUUUAGCUCUGUGAUACACUUUCAAAGAGUCGGGUUGUUUGGGAAUGCAGCCCAAAACGGGAGGUAGAUUUCUUCUAAGGCUAAAUAUUGGCGAGAGACCGAUAGCGAACAAGUACCGUGAGGGAAGAUGAAAAGAACUUUGAAAAGAGAGUUAAACAGUACGUGAAAUUGUCAAAAGGGAAGCGUUUGACACCAGUGUUGUUUUCUCGAAAAUCAAUUAAAAAUGGCUCGAUUUUGUAUUGCUUGAGACCUUAAAAGCUCACUGUACAUUUUUCGUGUCUUUUUUAAUGUACUUUUCGUUUAACAAGUCAACAUCAGUUUCUUUUGUUGUAAAAGGGUCAUUGGAAGGUGGCUUUCUUUUCGGAGAAAGUGUUUAUAGCCUUUGGCCUCUGCAAUCGGAGAGACUGAGGUCUGCAGCGUAGACUCUUCGGGGUUAGAUACAUUUGUGCUAAGUUAUAGCUUUUUAUAGACAACUUGUUGACUAUAAUUAGUCUUGUAGCUUACUCGCUUAUGCUAUUUUACCUACGCUUAGGAUGUUGAGUAGCGACAUACGCAC